GGACAUUCCAGCUUCUGCUUUCAAGAUGGGGUUGUGCCCACGGAAGUUAAGGCUCAGCUUUUGAAUUUUGAAAUAAAAAUUUGAAACUUGUGUCAGAGAGAGCAACAUUGAAAGGAGAUUCCAGCCAACCCCUGGGCACAGAAGGCCCAAAAGCCAGCGUUCCCUGAGGACAGUCAAGAGGAGCUGCCUCACUCAUCUUUGCGCCUGCCUGGCCCCCGAGUAGACUGGGCUGCCCAACUCGGAGCUGGCAGCCACCCAGGACUCGUGGGCAUUCAGGUAACCUACGUCCUGGCCACCAGCACCACCUGGCCUCAUCCCAGGUAGCCCAAGAAGGUGCCUCUCUGGAAGUGAAAGGUACACGCUCCUCACUCCCAGACCCCAUGCCCUACCCUAUGGGUGCCAUAAGUCCGCAAGGUUCAAGGACGCCGAUGGUUCACCCAACUCAAUCGUUUUCUUUCGUUAUUAUUAAUUACUUUUUACUCUUCACCCA
rnacentral:lncRNA from 1 species